UUUAUAUGAGAGUUUGAUCCUGGCUCAGGAUGAACGCUGGCGGCGUGCCUAAUACAUGCAAGUCGAACGAGUUCUGAUUAUUGAAAGGUGCUUGCAUCUUGAUUUUAAUUUUGAACGAGUGGCGGACGGGUGAGUAACACGUGGGUAACCUGCCCUUAAGUGGGGGAUAACAUUUGGAAACAGAUGCUAAUACCGCAUAAAUCCAAGAACCGCAUGGUUCUUGGCUGAAAGAUGGCGUAAGCUAUCGCUUUUGGAUGGACCCGCGGCGUAUUAGCUAGUUGGUGAGGUAACGGCUCACCAAGGCAAUGAUACGUAGCCGAACUGAGAGGUUGAUCGGCCACAUUGGGACUGAGACACGGCCCAAACUCCUACGGGAGGCAGCAGUAGGGAAUCUUCCACAAUGGACGCAAGUCUGAUGGAGCAACGCCGCGUGAGUGAAGAAGGCUUUCGGGUCGUAAAACUCUGUUGUUGGAGAAGAAUGGUCGGCAGAGUAACUGUUGUCGGCGUGACGGUAUCCAACCAGAAAGCCACGGCUAACUACGUGCCAGCAGCCGCGGUAAUACGUAGGG
rnacentral:rRNA from 2 species